CACAUACUUGCCAUGUUUUAGCGGGUGCACUUGUGUAGAGGUAAGAUUUUAGCUCAUACUUGCUGUGUUUUAGUGUGUGCACUGGUGUAGAGCUAAGAUUUGAGCUCAUACUUGCAGUGUUUUAGUGUGUGCACUGGUGUAGAGCUAAGAUUUGAGCUCAUACUUGCCAUGUUUUAGUGUGUGCACUGGUGUAGAGCUAAGAUUUUAGCUCAUACUUGCCCUGUUUUAGUGUGUGCACUGGUGUAGAGGUAAGAUUUGAGCUCAUACUUGCAGUGUUUUAGUGUGUGCACUGGUGUAGAGGUAAGAUUUGAGCUCAUACUUGCCAUGUUUUAGUGUGUGCACUGGUGUAGAGGUAAGAUUUGAGCUCAUACUUGCCCUGUUUUAGUGUGUGCACUGGUGUAGAGGUAAGAUUUGAGCUCAUACUUGCCCUGUUUUAGUGUGUGCACUGGUGUAGAGAUAAGAUUUGAGCUCAUACUUGCAGUGUUUUAGUGUGUGCACUGGUGUAGAGGUAAGAUUUGAGCUCAUACUUGCCAUGUUUUAGUGUGUGCACUGGUGUAGAGCUAAGAUUUGAGCUCAUACUUGCAGUGUUUUAGUGUGUGCACUGGCGUAGAGAUAAGAUUUGAGCUCAUACUUGCCGUGUUUUAGCUCGUGCACUUGU